GCUGUGGGAGGAACUGGCUGCCAUGAGCACACUUAAGCAGGCCUAGAGAGAGGCCCACAAGGUGAGGAACUGAGGCCUCCAGCCUUUAGUCACAUGAGUGAACCAUCUUGAAAGUGGAUCCUCUAGCCCCAGUCAAGCCUCCAGUUCCCACCCACACUCCUGACUGCAGCCUCAUGAAAGACUCCAAGUCAGAGAUAUCCAGCUAAACUGCUCCUGGAUUUCUGACCCAUAGAAAUGGUGCUUCCUGUCACUUCUCUUGAAUCCCGAUGCUCUCUCUGGGACGAUCUAUUUGAAGUGUGACUACUACUCCCUAUCUUGCUUCUUUGUUGUAGAGAAGGGCAGAGACAUGUCUGUCCAGGACGCCGCUGCAAAUCUGAUGCCUACCUAGUGCCUGUCAAGGAAAAGGCACUCAACAGUGACUUUAAUGACUCACAUCCCACUCUAACUCCUCUAUAAAAGGAAAGAAAGAUCAGACCCUGACCUUCAAAAAUGAAUACAGGACUAUUCAAGACAACAACAGAAGAAGAAAAAUGCCUUCAAUUCAAAAUAAAACGUAUUGGCAAUGGAAGGCAUUUCAGUUUUAAAGCAAAUAAAACUCGACAAAAUAUUUCUCAAUGACCAGAAGCAACAAAAUAGUUUGUCAGAAUGCCCUGAAAUGCUUUCCAUGACAGUUUGAUAAAACUUACAUAACACAAUUA